CCUACGGGGUGCAGCAGUAGGGAAUAUUGCUCAAUGGGGGAAACCCUGAAGCAGCAACGCCGCGUGGAGGAUGACGGUUUUCGGAUUGUAAACUCCAUUUGUUAGAGAAGAUAAUGACGGUAUCUAAAGAAUAAGCACCGGCUAACUACGUGCCAGCAGCCGCGGUAAUACGGAGGGUGCAAGCGUUACUCGGAAUCACUGGGCGUAAAGAGGGCGUAGGCGGGAUCGCAAGUAAGAUGUGAAGUCCUAUGGCUUAACCAUAGAACUGCAUUUGAAACUGUUAUUCUAGAGUAUGGGAGAGGUAGGUGGAAUUCUUGGUGUAGGGGUAAAAUGCUUAGAGAUCAAGAGGAAUACUCAUUGCGAAGGCGACCUGCUAGAACAUAACUGACGCUGAUGCGCGAAAGCGUGGGGAGCAAACAGGAUUAGAUACCCCAGUAGUC
rnacentral:rRNA from 1 species